AUUGAACGCUGGCGGCAGGCCUAACACAUGCAAGUCGAACGAGUGGCGGACGGGUGAGUAAUGUCUGGGAAACUGCCUGAUGGAGGGGGAUAACUACUGGAAACGGUAGCUAAUACCGCAUACCAUCAGAUGUGCCCAGAUGGGAUUAGCUAGUUGGUGGGGUAAAGGCUGACCAAGGCGACGAUCCCUAGCUGGGCUGAGAGGAUGACAAGCCACAUUGGAACGUAGACAGGGUCAAGACUCCUACGGGAGGCAGCAGUGGGGAAUAUUGGACAAUGGGCGCAAGCCUUAUGCAGCCAUGCCGCGUGUAUGAAGAAGGCCUUCGGGUUGUAAAGUACUUUCAGCGGGUAUGCGUUACCCGCAGAAGAAGCACCGGCUAACUCCGUGCCAGCAGCCGCGGUAAUUC
rnacentral:rRNA from 1 species